GAUUUUUCUCAUUUGAGGAGCUCAAAAAAUGGACCAAUAAUUUUUCAGAAACCAAUGAUAUUGGUUGUGGUGGUUAUGGAAAGGUUUACAGAGGAACUCUUCCAAAUGGAGAAUUGGUUGCAAUUAAAAGAGCUCUACAAGGGUCUAUGCAGGGUGCACACGAGUUCAAAACUGAGAUAGAGCUUCUCUCAAGGGUUCAUCACAAGAACGUCGUUGGCCUUGCUGGCUUUUGUUUCGAUCAAGCUGAACAGAUGCUUGUGUACGAGUACAUUCCUAAUGGCACCUUAAAAGACGGUCUUUCAGGCAAGACUGGCAUCAGGUUAGAUUGGAUGAGGAGACUGAGGAUAGCCGUUGGAGCAGCCAGAGGUUUGCAGUAUUUGCAUGACCUUGUCAAUCCUCCCAUCAUACACAGGGACAUCAAAUCCAAUAAUAUUUUGCUGGAUGAUCG
rnacentral:misc_RNA from 1 species